ensembl:antisense Gm16124 predicted gene 16124
GCUACAUGGUCACCCCGGCCUGCCCACGCGAGAGAGCGCAUGCAAACGCUUGAGGAGACGCGAGCGACGAAUGGUGGGAAGGGACCGGGAGCCUACCAGACCGGGAAGAGUUUUUGAGACAGGGUUUCUACAUAGCCCUGGCCAUUUUGGAAGUCACUAUGUAGACUAGGCUCACAGAGAUCUUAUCUGCCUGCCUCUUCCUCCUGAGUUCUGGGGUUAAAGGCAUGUGCUACCACACCUGCAGAAGAAGUUAACAUUUAAAUUCCUGGACUUUGAGUAAAGCAUAUCAGCCAUUGUGAUGUGGAUUGGUGUCAUUUAAUCAAUUGAGGGGCUAAUUAGAAUGAAGAAGCUGGUCUGCCCUGAGCACAUGGAAUUCUCCAGAAGACGGCCUUUGAAUAUCAUUGUCAACACUGGCUUUUUCAUUGUCUCUUGGCAGACAGAUGGCUUUUGAAGUCCAUUAGUUCUUUUGAGUCUCCAGGCUGAAUAUCUUGGAACUGACAAGAUACUCCACAAGAG